GUGAGGAAUUUUGGACAAUGGGGGCAACCCUGAUCCAGCAAUGCCGCGUGCAGGAAGAAGGCCUUCGGGUUGUAAACUGCUUUUGUACGGAACGAAACGGUCCUGGUUAAUACCUGGGGCUAAUGACGGUACCGUAAGAAUAAGCACCGGCUAACUACGUGCCAGCAGCCGCGGUAAUACGUAGGGUGCAAGCGUUAAUCGGAAUUACUGGGCGUAAAGCGUGCGCAGGCGGUUUUGUAAGACAGGCGUGAAAUCCCCAGGCUCAACCUGGGAAUGGCGCUUGUGACUGCAAGGCUGGAGUGCGGCAGAGGGGGAUGGAAUUCCGCGUGUAGCAGUGAAAUGCGUAGAUAUGCGGAGGAACACCGAUGGCGAAGGCAAUCCCCUGGGCCUGCACUGACGCUCAUGCACGAAAGCGUGGGGAGCAAACAGGAUUAGAUACCCCUGUAGUCC
rnacentral:rRNA from 1 species